rnacentral:rRNA from 1 species
UACGUAGGGUGCGAGCGUUGCCCGGAUUUAUUGGGCGUAAAGGGCGCGUAGGCGGCCACGCACGUCCGUUGUGAAAUCGCCCGGCUCAACUGGGCGGGGUCAGCGGAUACGGUGUGGCUCGAGCAAGCUAGGGGGCAAUGGAAUUCCCGGUGUAGUGGUGGAAUGCGUAGAGAUCGGGAGGAACACCUGUGGCGAAGGCGGCCCCCUGGGCCGGCCCUGACACUGAGACGCGAAGGCGUGGGGGAGCGAACGGG